UCGUAAACAAACAAUAAAGCCUGUGGUCCCCAGGUAAACUCAGAUAUCAAUUAAAAUACAACAAGUAUACGUGUCAUAUACAUACCUGCUUUAUUAUUUUAUUAUCUAACACUUUCAAUAUCUAUCUCGCAGGCUUUAAGCUUUUAAGGAUAACCUCGGUUUAUAUUUGUAGUUAAAACUUUAAUUCAGGUAUAGAAGUAGAACUUUGUAAUGAAGCAGGCAAAAGUGCGCAGAGACCAACCUGAUGAACGAUUACCCCUCCACAAUAGAUUAGGAUUAAGUAUUUCAGGUUUUUCUCUUAUAAAAAGUGGGGUCAUAGUGGUACCAUAGGCAAUAACAAGAUUUUACGUCCAGUAUAUACAUCAGUUUAUUCAAUAAGUGAGAUAACAACGCGUGAUUGGAAUUAACAAAUUAUGAUUUUGAACUGGAUAUCGAAUCAUUUAUUUUACAUAACAUAGUGCAGUAUUAAGUAUUAAAUCUCACGUCUGACUAUAAUAAGGUUUUACUGUUGAUAAUAUGUUAGUGGUUGCAUUAUUGACUUAUUAAAGUUAUACUUUCAGAUAAACGAGGCCUGUAUAGUGCAUACAUCCAGAAGCAGUCAGAACAACGAACCACUAAGAAAUUACCUUGAUAUCGCCCUAAAUUACUUCCAUCUAUGAGAGCAGUUGGUGGUUACAAUUUUACUCGUACUUGUCAAUUUUGAAGAUUUUGAAUCUGCGAACGACAGCAGACAGGAAACCACUGCACAGGGAGUUCUGACAAUCAUUUCGAAAUCUUUUAUGAUUUAACUUUCUUUGCAAUAAUCUCUCUUAUUCAAUGAUCACGAAUUUAAACGAUGUUUCUGUUUUAAAACAACAAAUUUUUAAAUUCAUAGAUUCUAGCAAUCUAGUAGUGAUGAAUAAUUUCCAAUCCCCAGGAAAUUUCUCGAAGAACCAAGACACGGAUGUGUGCACAUCAGUCGAAAUGCACCGGUCGAAUUUUUAGUUUGUCCUUAAAGCGAUUUGUCCAUUAGAACGAUUCGAAUGAGGAGACAGUUUUCUCCCACAAAAAGUUGUGAUAAAAAAUAUCUUUCAUUUAUUCAUCACUUUUAAAUCAAUAUAUUAUUAUCUGGACGAACUAAAAACGGGAGAAAAAAGUUGGACGCUUGUUUCCAUAAAAAUGUUGACCGGUGCAUUUCGACUGAUGUGCACAUAACCGCGUGAGACGAAGGACAAAAAGUUUACCAGUGUGUGGAAAGUAACACACACCUCAGGAAGAGCAGCAAGGUCGGCAGGCAAGAUGAAUUGAGAUAAUUCAUUAUAGAUGAACCAUUUCCAUAUCUUCUCCGUGAUCAGUUUUACGGUUGAAGUCAGUAGUGAACGGUACCCAAACUGAACCGCGGGAAAACAGCUCUAUCUUUUCGAGUACCGACACGGUUUUAACAAUUCAGACCAGUAAAAUGUUAAGGGGCGGACGACGAUAAAAUGUUUGAGUAACAGUAACAAACUCGUAAAGUAAACCAACUAAACAAAUUGAAACCUUGAAGUAGAGCAGCUGUUUGAGAGCCAAGACAGAGUUCCAACAAUCAGACCAUCCAAAUCCUUAUCUCACUAAUCAGCCUCAGCUUUAAAAGAAAAAGAUUCAUUCAAUCUAAAGCCUCUGCAGGAUACAAUAAUAUCUGAAACUAUGAACAGACACAAAUCUCACUAUCCCAGCCAUCUCCUAGGGAAACCAGGAACAAAUCUCACUAUCCCAGCCAUCUCAGAAGGAAACUAGGAACAAAUCUCACUAUCCCAGCCAUCUCCUAGGGAAACCAGGAACAAAUCUCACUAUCCCAGCCAUCUCAGAAGGAAACUAGGAACAAAUCUCACUAUCCCAGCCAUCUCAGAAGGAAACUAGGAACAAAUCUCACUAUCCCAGCCAUCUCAGAGGGAAACUAGGAACAAAUCUCACUAUCCCAGCCA